UACGUAGGGUGCGAGCGUUAAUCGGAAUUACUGGGCGUAAAGCGCGCGUAGGUGGUUUGAUAAGUUGGAUGUGAAAGCCCCGGGCUCAACCGUGUCAUUGCGGUGGAAACUGCAUAUCUGGAGUACUGGAGAGGAAGGGGGAAUUCCCGGUGUAGCGGUGAAAUGCGUAGAUAUCGGGAGGAAUACCAGUGGCGAAGGCGCCCUUCUGGACGGUUACUGACGCUGAGACGCGAAAGCGUGGGGAGCAAACAGG
rnacentral:rRNA from 1 species